rnacentral:lncRNA from 1 species
UCAUAUAACUCGUAAUCUAGGCAGGCCUUGCACAAGGUACAUCCCCGGAUGGGAUGUCUAUGGCCAAUACAAACCUGUCCAUUUUUAGAGAUUUUUUCAGACAACUUGGUCACUCGAACAGAAAUGACAUGAUAGACAUAAGAGGGAGGGUAGUCUGGUAAUGUUGGAACUUCGGACAAACAAGGUGGUUAGACCACAAGGAAUUAAGAUCUCAUUGGUGAUUUAAGAUCAAAUUAGGUGCCUGAUUGGUGAUAUAGAACCUAAGGUGGUUUCACACAGGAGUGAGAGCUAAGAAGCUUCAAUUAUUGUAGGGAAUGAGGCUUCCCUGUCAUCAAUCUGUCUCUUCUUGAACAAGUAUUCUUUCUGGCCCUCCUCCGAACCCCUCCUCGAGGACUAGCUGGCUUCUUGAUGCUGGAAUCCUAUGCUCAGCCCUCCUCCUAUAAUAUGAUACAUGAUUUUUCCCUUUCACCCAAUGAGAUCAUAUGUGGAUGCCUAUCUACAACCUGUUUGUUGCUGUGCUUGGACUGCAUUUAAAAUUAUCAAACACAUGUACAAACACACAAUCUCAUUGCAAAGGGUUUGGGGGGAAACCACAAUGAGCCAAAAGAGAAAAAAAAGUGAAUUAGUAAAUGUCCCACCACUGGCUUCGUAUACAAUCCAUCAAACCUAAAGACAUGAUAGGCAUGCAAAUUAGCUUAAUAGAUCUCACUCCCACUUGCAGGGUAAUUGAUAGGGAAAACGAUAGCUUACAUGAGAUAAGAUUUUAUAAUGUUCAGAGAUGUGCUUCUAAAAACUCUACUGUUAUAGCAUCGUUCUCGAGUCAUUCAACACCUAAUCAAGAGUGGUAAGGAUAACGAGCAGUCCCCAUCUAAAUUAUCACCCUAUUAUGCUUUGCCUGUUCCCUUCACAGCAAUCUCACACCUCUCAAUCCAGCCAGGUGCACUUGACAUAACCCCCUCCAAAUCUCUGCCUUGGUUGGAUACACCGAACAGAUAAAAUGUAUGUACCAACAAGUAAUUAUCCAAGUAUAUGAUAAGAGGUAGCAAAAAAACUGGAGAAACUAAACAAAACGAUUGCAUGGAUAGCUACAUAUAAAAUAAAAUGUUAACGUGGUGGGGUAUCUCUAGUGGGUAUCGGGAGCACAUGGUACCUGUGGGCAUCCACAUGGCCCGGUCAUGAGAGGGGGCCUGAGACACAACAAAUAUCACGCAAGAUUUUAGCGAUACAGAAUGUAAACCCUGGUUAAGCAAAUGACCAUGAAUUAAUUACCUCCUAGAAGAGCAUGGCAUUGAAGGAUCUACAGCUGGGGAAAUGUGGGACAGUAUCUGAAGAGCAGAAACUUUUUUAUCAUAUGAUGAAGCUAGGUAGCGUCAUUCUUAAAAUGAGCAGUCAGUUUAUUUUGCAUGCACCAAUGUUUGAACCGAGAAUAGGUGCAAGGUUGAAGGUUUGAUGCUGUUCACAUUUCCAUC